rnacentral:rRNA from 1 species
AUGAAGAGAUCAUCCGCACCAACAAACUAUUGGAGGAGAAACAAGGUCGAGAACCUCAAGAACACGCUGGCCGAGGCCAAGAAGAAGGAGGAGGGGGAACAAGCCUCCCGCCAAAAGCAUGAAUCACGGGUGGAGGAAGUCCAGCAAGAGCUCCGGGAUGCCAUAGGCAAAUGUGAGUCCUUGGAGCGCAAGAUUACGGAUGAAGAUGUCGAACAUGCUAAGGCCCUCCAAUGUGCGCAGGAGGCCCGGGUUGAAGCCCAAGGCGUCUGCCGGGAGAUUCAAGAGGCCGAGAAGAUUGCGGCGGGGAGCGUUUGCGGAUCUGCCCCGGAGUACUGCUGA